AGAGGAUCCGCAUUGCUCAUUUUCUAUCCAAUUGAUUUCUCAGUAUCCAUUCCAAUACUCCCUCUUCUCUCUCACGCCUACUCCCUCACACUCUAACCAUUCUCUUCAAUUCAAGCUUUGAACUAAGGAAAGGAAGCAUGGAUUCUUACAUGCAAUCAUGGUAGCAACUUCUCUAGCCAUAAGUAAACAAGAGCUUGUAUGUGAGUUAUAGUAGCCAAGGAGUCAUGGGUUCAUGUUUGAAGCUUGAAGUUUUGAGUGGUGACUUUUGAAAGAGAUUGUGUUGAAUUUCGUUUUUGGAUAUACUUUCAGAAAAACAGUAAGUACUCCUUCCCUGUAACUCCAAUCGAGUUAAUUCUUUAAGUUCUGUAAAGCUAACGAAUUUACCCUCGUUGGCAUAUCAAAUUUUAUCGGAUUCGGAGUUACAAUGCAUUAUGUAGGUGAUGCUAAAGUUGAAGAUACGAAACAGGAUUUCUGCAGAAAAUGUGUUUGGACAGUGCUGCACUUAAAGGUUAACUGCGCCCUCUCUAUAACUCGGUUUGACAUUCCAUUUGCUUCUAUGGAUAGCUAACUCGAUUACGAAUUCUGCAGAAAGGUAUGGGUACGGGUUUGAAGCAUUUCGAUUGAAAUUAUGCAUAUCGGCGAGCUCUGGAAAUGACAAUGGUAUUGUUCAAGCGUAUUUGCAGGUGGGUUCCCUUAGAGCCUUAAACUCUAGUUAGUUUUAACUCUAUUAGUUUCCCCAAAUUAUGAAUCUUGCAUGAUAACAUAAGCAUUAGGGUGAAUUGUGUAUGAGAGGAGCUUAAUCCCAAAGCUUCUCUUCGUUUUAAUUAUGUGAAAUAUGUUGUAAUGUUCAUGGCUAAUAAGUAAAGGGAUUGUGAUAAUGAUUUUCUGCAAAACGGAUGGAAAUUGUAAAAACAGAGUAAUGAACUGAUAGCCUCGCUAAGCGAAAUGGUACUUGCUAGGCGAGAAUAUCAGCUCAGUACUAUGUAGAAUUUAAAAUUAUG